AGCGAACGCUGGCGGCAGGCUUAACACAUGCAAGUCGAACGGUCCCUCGGGAUAGUGGCGGACGGGUGAGUAACACGUGGGAACGUACCCUUAGGUUCGGAACAACACAGGGAAACUUGUGCUAAUACCGGAUAAGCCCUUCGGGUGAAAGAUUUAUCGCCUUUGGAGCGGCCCGCGUCUGAUUAGCUUGUUGGUGAGGUAAUGGCUCACCAAGGCUACGAUCAGUAGCUGGUCUGAGAGGAUGGCCAGCCACACUGGGACUGAGACACGGCCCAGACUCCUACGGGAGGCAGCAGUGGGGAAUCUUGCGCAAUGGGCGAAAGCCUGACGCAGCCAUGCCGCGUGGAUGAUGAAGGUCUUAGGAUUGUAAAAUCCUUUCACCGGGGACGAUAAUGACGGUACCCGGAGAAGAAGCCCCGGCUAACUUCGUGCCAGCCGCCGCGGUAA
rnacentral:rRNA from 1 species